rnacentral:rRNA from 1 species
CUUUAAAGGUCUACAAAGCGGUUAUGAGGUAUUUGACUCUCUGGCUGUAUUAUUGGUUUCCGUGCCGUAGUAAGCUGAGGGUUUUAGUCAGUCAGGACGCGUUGCUUUAGCUCCAUGCUAAUGAGCUAGGAAGCGCUAAACUCACCGUCGGACACAAGAGGUGUAGGCACGAGAGCAUCUAGGGCUUAUAACACACGUAGGGUGGACGCAUAGAGGACGGCCCCUAAAGAAUAGACUCUAGAGAGAACAAGAACGCGUAUACGUAUACACACCAGAGGAGCGUGCCUUUACUAUUUGGCCGUAUAAAUCCUUCCCUACCGCGCUAGCUAGCAAAGAAGAAGAGAAGAUUUUAGCCGGGAACCUUGUAUAGACACACUGUUGGUUCGUCGAUCGUGUGGCUAAGGUACUCCCCUUCGCGCUCCAGAGAUCAACUUUGGCGUUGGUCUGUUUAGUUUGGACCGUUACCUGAGCGUUCAUACAGUCGUAGGUGGAAGUCAAACGAAACGAACUCUUAAAGUUCUUAGUCGACAGCCACAGAGCCAAAUGGAACACAACUUGUCCCCACUACUGCUAAUGGUGAGGGUUCUUCGUGCUCUUCCUCUAGUCGGGAUGACUUAGACGGGAGGGUUUCCUACUUUUGCAGCUCGGGGAGCAGCGAAAGUCGGCCGGCGGAGGAAACGGUGGCCAAGAUCCGGGGAACUAGCGCGAGAGCGAAAAAGUCUGAAGAAGAUCACUACUCCUGUCGUUUACUCAGCGGUCCAUACACGUCUACAACGGGUACGAGAAGAGACAAAAAGGCGUUACUACGGUGUCACUGUAUUUUAUGUCUUAAGACACGUCCCCCGAACGAACAAACUAGCGACUCAACCAAUGAAAACCCUCGGACCGGCACAUAUAUCAGUCUCCAACAUCUGUAGUACAACGACAUCAUCAGACCGUUCAUGAUGCUUUAGACUUAUUACAUCAUCAGAACACACUGUUGAAAAGUCUGACUUGCUUAAAGUUUCAGACAGCGACACGUUGCAAAAUAAAAGAACACUUAGGUAU